CCCCACUACUCCUACGGGAGGCAGCAGUGGGGAAUAUUGCACAAUGGGCGCAAGCCUGAUGCAGCGACGCCGCGUGAGGGAUGACGGCCUUCGGGUUGUAAACCUCUUUCAGUAGGGAAGAAGCGAAAGUGACGGUACCUGCAGAAGAAGCGCCGGCUAACUACGUGCCAGCAGCCGCGGUAAUACGUAGGGCGCAAGCGUUAUCCGGAAUUAUUGGGCGUAAAGAGCUCGUAGGCGGUUUGUCGCGUCUGCCGUGAAAGUCCGGGGCUCAACUCCGGAUCUGCGGUGGGUACGGGCAGACUAGAGUGAUGUAGGGGAGACUGGAAUUCCUGGUGUAGCGGUGAAAUGCGCAGAUAUCAGGAGGAACACCGAUGGCGAAGGCAGGUCUCUGGGCAUUAACUGACGCUGAGGAGCGAAAGCAUGGGGAGCGAACAGGAUUAGAUACCCUGGUAGUCCAUGCCGUAAACGUUGGGCACUAGGUGUGGGGGACAUUCCACGUUUUCCGCGCCGUAGCUAACGCAUUAAGUGCCCCGCCUGGGGAGUACGGCCGCAAGGCUAAAACUCAAAGGAAUUGACGGGGGCCCGCACAAGCGGCGGAGCAUGCGGAUUAAUUCGAUGCAACGCGAAGAACCUUACCAAGGCUUGACAUGAACCGGUAAUACCGGAGACCAGGUGC
rnacentral:rRNA from 1 species